GUGGGGAAUCUUCCGCAAUGGGCGCAAGCCUGACGGAGCAACGCCGCGUGAAUGAAGAAGGCCUUCGGGUCGUAAAGUUCUGUCUUUAGAGAAGAAGUCUCUCUAUGUGAAUAAUGUAGAGAGGUGACGGUACCUAAGGAGGAAGCUCCGGCUAACUACGUGCCAGCAGCCGCGGUAAUACGUAGGGAGCAAGCGUUGUCCGGAAUUACUGGGCGUAAAGGGCGCGUAGGCGGAUAAUUAAGUCAGGUGUGAAAACUCUGGGCUCAACCUGGAGAUUGCACUUGAAACUGGUUAUCUUGAGGGCAGGAGAGGAAAGUGGAAUUCCUAGUGUAGCGGUGAAAUGCGUAGAUAUUAGGAGGAACACCAGUGGCGAAGGCGACUUUCUGGACUGCACCUGACGCUGAGGCGCGAAAGCGUGGGGAGCGAACGGGAUUAGAAACCCGGGUAGUCC
rnacentral:rRNA from 1 species